UACGUAGGGGGCAAGCGUUGUCCGGAUUUAUUGGGCGUAAAGAGCGUGUAGGCGGCUAGAUAGGUCCGUUGUGAAAACUCGAGGCUCAACCUCGAGACGUCGAUGGAAACCAUCUGGCUAGAGUCCGGAAGAGGAGAGUGGAAUUCCUGGUGUAGCGGUGAAAUGCGCAGAUAUCAGGAAGAACACCCGUGGCGAAGGCGGCUCUCUGGUACGUGACUGACGCUGAGGCGCGAAAGCCAGGGGAGCAAACGGGG
rnacentral:rRNA from 1 species